CUACCGUGUUGUAUAAAGGUUUAGGUUGGGGGGUUAUUCUAGCCUUCUUCG
rnacentral:rRNA from 1 species